UACAGAGGGGGCAAGCGUUGUUCGGAAUUACUGGGCGUAAAGCGUGCGCAGGCGGUGCUGUAAGACCGAUGUGAAAUCCCCGGGCUUAACCUGGGAACUGCAGUCGGGACUGUCUAGCUAGAGUAUGGGAGAGGGAAGUGGAAUUUCAGGUGUAGCGGUGAAAUGCGUAGAUAUCUGAAGGAACAUCAGUGGCGAAAGCGACUUCCUGGACCAAUACUGACGCUCAUGUGCGAAAGCGUGGGGAGCAAACAGG
rnacentral:rRNA from 1 species